GGGCGAUUAGCUCAGUUGGUUAGAGCGUUCGGAUCACACCCGAGAGGUCGCAGGUUCGAGUCCUGCAUCGCCCACUA
rnacentral:tRNA from 1 species